AUUAGCUCAGUUCGGUAGAGCGCCAGACUUUUAAUCUGGUGGCCGUGGGUUCGAGCCCCACAU
rnacentral:tRNA from 1 species